rnacentral:rRNA from 1 species
CCUACGGGUGGCAGCAGUGGGGAAUAUUGGGCAAUGGGCGCAAGCCUGACCCAGCAAUGCCGCGUGAAGGAAGAAGGCUUUCGGGGUGUAAACCUCUUUGACAGGGGAAGAGCAGAAGACGGCACGAUGAAAACAAGCCACGGCUAACUACGUGUCAGCAGCCGCGGUAAUACGUAGGUGGCAAGUGUUGCCCGGAUUUACGGGGUGUAAAGGGAGUGUAAGCGGGAAGGCAAGUCAGAUGUGAAAGCUGGAGGCUCAACCUCCAAAUUGCAUUUGAAACUGUUUGUCUUGAGUACUGGAGAGGCAGGCGGAAUUCCUUGUGUAGCGGUGAAAUGCGUAGAUAUAAGGAAGAACACCAGUGGCGAAGGCGGUCUGCUGGACAGCAACUGACGGUGAGGCGCGAAAGCGUGGGGAGCAAACAGGAUUAGAUACCCCAGUAGUC